rnacentral:rRNA from 1 species
UAUAGAGGGGGCAAGCGUUGUUCGGAAUUACUGGGCGUAAAGGGCGCGUAGGCGGCCUGCUAAGUCGAACGUGAAAUCUCCGGGCUCAACCCGGGAACUGCGUCCGAUACUGGCAGGCUUGAAUCCGGGAGAGGGAUGUGGAAUUCCAGGUGUAGCGGUGAAAUGCGUAGAUAUCUGGAGGAACACCGGUGGCGAAGGCGGCAUCCUGGACCGGUAUUGACGCUGAUGCGCGAAAGCCAGGGGAGCAAACGGGG